GGUGAGUAACACGCGGAUAACCUACCUAUAAGACUGGGAUAACUUCGGGAAACCGGAGCUAAUACCGGAUAAUAUUUUGAACCGCAUGGUUCAAAAGUGAAAGACGGUCUUGCUGUCACUUAUAGAUGGAUCCGCGCUGCAUUAGCUAGUUGGUAAGGUAACGGCUUACCAAGGCAACGAUGCAUAGCCGACCUGAGAGGGUGAUCGGCCACACUGGAACUGAGACACGGUCCAG
rnacentral:rRNA from 1 species